GAUCAAAGGUGUGUACCUGAUCCAAAGAAGAGGCCUCUCACAGCUCUAGCAGCUUGAUAGUAUGUCCCAACGCCCAAACUAAGUGCAAAAGACCAGGGUUACAAAUGUGCUUGGCUCCUCAAUGCCUCCUCAAGCUGGUAAAGUCCUACUGAAAUACCUGAGGAGCUGAGAACUGAGACAGUCUUCACAGACUCAGCCCAACCACCCAUUUAAGAGAACUGAGAAGCUAAGGCAUUGUCUGCUCUCCAACUCCAGAAAAAUUGUUGUAAGAAAUCUAAGGAUGUGCAAUGACUCUGAAGUGGGGGACAGUGCACAUGAACAGUCUUACAGAAAGACAGACUUCUCUUGGGGUUCACAUCAACUGAGCUCAUCCAGUCCUAGUGGAGAGGAUGGACCAUGCAGGUUCACGAGGACCCCGGAGAACUUCUGACGGCUAAGUGGUCCUUCAAGACUCAAAGGCUGAGAAGUGCCAGUCUGUGCUUGGAAAUGGGAGAUGGAGACACACCUAAGUGUGAUGGUGUGCCUGGCUGCAACCUGGGGAGCAUGGCUGGACUCCCACAGCUGGGUGUGUGAGCAUUUCACAGAUUCCAUACGGAGAGCUGAUGACUGGGUCUUCUCUCUCAAGGCCAGAGUGGGGCUGGGAGAUCGCAGCCAUCCCUCCAGCUUUGACAACCACAAGAGGAAACCAAGUGUAAGCUGUAGGGUGCAGCUGGACACUCAGAUAUCUGCUGCCAUCCUGCUGCCCCAUCAUGGGGUGGCCCAGCACACUGUUUUGCUCCUGUGGGACUUGGAAACCCCCAAAGAGCAUUCACUGGGUUAUCACAUCUCUGAUCUCCCUGAGAAAGGUGAAAUCUUUGUCAGCAACGUGGAGCUGAUUGGAGAGCUGAGCACAGAAGAGAUCUUGGAGCUGAACACACCCUUCCUUGCCCAUCUGGAUUGUCCUCCUUAGAGCACAAUGGGAGCUCUAAGCUCCAGAUCUUAGACAGUGAUGUGUUGUGGAGGGACCCCAAAAUCCUGAUUUCUCCUUCCAGGAGAAGUCAGGGCAGGAUGGGGCUCAGUGCCUGGCGCUGGGGCUGGCUUUGCUGGGGUUUACUGGGGAUGAAAUGCAGCUCCUGGGCGUUUCCCAUGACUGCAUACCUUUCUAUUUAAAAAUGACAAAAUUGCUAAUUAAAAUUUUCUUUCUGCAUUUGGCUUUGGAAAAAAAUUAAAAAUGUAUAAGUCCCUCUGUACUGCAUAUGUAUAUUUUAUUGCUGUAUAAUUGGGAUCUUCAUUAGUUCCCUGGGUGGUGAAGUGACAGGCUUUUCAAGUGAUACAGACACUAAUGCAUUGCGAUUCAGUUCUCUUUUAUUUUUUUUUCCAAGAUGCUCAUUGCUAAACACUUGCAAUACUCCCUAAUAAGGAUUUAUGCACAAAGCCCCUUUUUUUGGGUAACGCUAUCCACUGUAGCGCCAUUGAAAGACAAGACUCCGAUUGCAGCAGAAGAGGGGGUGGGAGGGCCACUUGGAGACGGAGAAAGUAUUAAUCACGUUAAUCCCAAACCCCAGGGUAUAAUUGCUGCUGCUCUCAAACAAAAUGUUACUUUUAUCUAAAUUACUAAAGUGGGAAA
rnacentral:lncRNA from 1 species